GGGGUCCUUUCCCUGGGGACCUGGGCUCCAGGCUGGGCUGCCCUGGGGGGAGGGGAAGCUGCAGGCUCAGCUGCUCAUUGUGACCUGCAUUCAGCCCUGUUGCUGGGACACUUGUCUCCAUGGCAACAGUAACUCUGAUUAUUUAACUGAAUUCCCACAGAGCCAGGGUGCGUUGGAGCGCAGGGACCCAGUGGGUCUGGACGGGGCUGCGGAACCUAGCUGCACCGGGACCACCUGGCUCCAGGCAGGUCUACCCCCUGGCUGGGGCGGUUCUGGCCCGCCUGGGUCCUCAGAGAGCCCUGGGCCUGUGCCGGGGGAUCAGUAAUUCCUGAACUUUCCCAGGAGCUGUCAGCUGGGGCCCAGCCUUGACCCUGGGGCCAGAAGCUGUGGAGCCAGGUGCUACCCCCAGAGCAAAGUGAGCCCGAGAGGAUGAGCCCAGCGGAGAGGCAUUGCAUUCGUCUUGCACUCGUCCCGGCCGGAGUCUGAAUGGAUUUGAGCUGCUCAGCAAGGAGACGAGCGCCCCGUCCUGGAACAGGUUCCUUGGCAAGGGAUUAGUUACCCCUCCUGCCAGGGCUGACUUACCAUGAGUGUGAGCUGCUUUCAGCAGUGGCCUGUCACGAUUCCCAGUGCUGCAAACUUCCUCCCAACAGUGUGCUGUUAGUUUUCGGCUGAGGACGCAGGUGCCACACGCUUCCCAACAGCAGUGCCCUCUCAGUGCCUAGCUGAGACCUCAGUGCUGCGAGCUUCCUCCCAGCAGUGCCCUGCCAGUACAGGCUAGAAACCGCAGUAAGACUGGAAGUGCAUGUCAGCAAAGAGGACACAGUCUAGGUUUCUUUCUGCAGCCAGAAGCAUCCCAGAGAGAUCCCAGCAUUCCCACCAGCCCUGGACAAGCUUCAGAUGGGAAACAGGACUCCGGUGAACCCAGGAGAUACUGGGAUCUACAAGGCAAGCAGCUCCAAGUGCUGGGGUCGAUCUGCCCUCUGUCUCCUCACCCUGCCCCCCC